UAGUGAGUUUGAUCCUGGCUCAGGAUGAACGCUAGCGGCAGGCCUAAUACAUGCAAGUCGAACGCGGGGUAGCAAUACCUCGAGUGGCGCACGGGUGCGUAACGCGUAACCAACCUACCUACAACUGGGGGAUAGCCCGCCGAAAGGCGGAUUAAUACCGCAUAAACCAACAGAACGGCAUCGUUUAAUUGGUAAAGAUUUAUUGGUUCAGGAUGGGGUUGCGUGACAUUAGCUAGUUGGCGGGGUAACGGCCCACCAAGGCGACGAUGUCUAGGGGACCUGAGAGGGGUGAUCCCCACACUGGCACUGAGAUACGGGCCAGACUCCUACGGGGAGGCAGCAGUAGGGAAUAUUGGGG
rnacentral:rRNA from 1 species